CCGCAACUGUCCCGAUAGCGGGCGCGUACCGUUGUCGUAUCGUAAUCGUAUCGUUACGAAAUUCGCUUUCUCGUCGUCGGCAAGUUAUAUAGCAAUCACGUUCGGAUUACAAGGGUCCCGGUCAACGUCGUCCGAGUCGCGAAGCGUCCCGUCGUUCCCGUCGCGGUAUCUUCGAUUCGAGCUCGAUUCAAAUCCGUUCGGCACGACACGACAGAACAUUCGGGGUCGAACAGCGUUUCAUCGGUCCGUCGGCGUCCGCCGGUAUCCGUUUAAUUGAAAUACACGUGUAUUUUUUUUUUUUUUAUGCAUACAUUAAAAUAAUUAUUGAACAAACGACGGCGUAUGUUAGUUGAUCGGUUCGAAAAAGACUCGACACGAAAUUCAAAAUUUGUAAUCGUUUUUCGUGGUAAACAACAAAACGAUUUUGUGAACGUUUUGACUCGAUAAAUCGCACGGUGCCGAACAACUGGUU